UUUGUUCUGAACUGCAAAAUAGGAAUGCCUUAUAUUUACAUACACAGGUAUACAAUUAAUUAUAACAAAGGUACAGAAGCUUGCCUUUACCAAGUUACAACUGGGCUCCAAUUUAAAUAGCAUAGGUUUCCUUUUUAAAAACUUUUUUUUAAAAUCUUUUUUUUUAAUCUUACUAGGAUACUCUUCUUUAAAAAUCAAAACCAGAAGACCCCUUCCUCUAAUAGAUUUCAUCCACCUAUCUUUGAGGCUCAUUAUAACACUGUUGUCUAAAGAUAUGUUUUGCUUUGUUCUAACAAAGGGUCAGUGUUCAAGGUGGGAGCUUUAUGGAAACUGAAGUGGGGCGCAGCGGGAAGGGGGUGACUGGAGCAGGAAUGACCACCCUUCGGUGGCUUCUUUCUGAUCCUCAAAGGCCCCUGCCUGUUCUUUAAACCACCCAUCCAUCUUUCCUUUUCCUUCCCUUUCCUCUAGUGUUUGAGACUUCACUCUGGGUCAUCUGACCAGGCCAAACUCCUCUCCCUCCACGCCUUGGCUCACUAAGCCAUUGUCUGUUGCGGUACCCUGGAGUUGCUGGUUGCUAUGGUAACAUGGCAGGACCCUGAUGGAAGAAAUAGGCUGGUCUCUACAAGCUAAAGUGGGGAGGAGGGCAGCUGCAUCCAAUUCUUCCUUCCCAUCUCAGGGCCUGGGGUUCCUGUUCUUGGUCAGCACAGCCAACAUGUGACUAAGCCAGACCCUGGGCCUCAAGGACACCAGGCCCAGGCAGGCAGUGAUGGAGAGGAGGGUCAUCCACUCUAAAACACAAAGCCAUUGGUUUCCAAAUGGAAACAAGAUUCUUUGAGAUAAAGAAACCGGUGGAAGAUGAGCUGCAUACACCUAUUUGCCAUGAACGUUUGCAUUCUCGGGGAAGAGGACCUGGGUCCUUCCACGACCCAUCCCUAACAGGCUCUCCCUGCAGUUUGGGGGAAGUUGACUGAUGAGAACUGUGUAGGAUUCGCCAACACCAGGGGCAGCCCGGAAAGCCAGGACUGGACAGCAGUAACAGAGGCGGAGGGGAGGGAAGGUGGGCUUGCCGACCAAGGACCCCCGGGCCCAUGGCCCACCUCACUAUCUCUGCCAAUACAAACAGAAAUCUCUUUUUAUUCAUUAGGGAUUUUGUUUUGUUUUGUUUUGUUUUGCUUUGGGGUGGUCACUGGUCUACUCAAGAAAUUUAACUGGGACUCUAAUGAGUAGGUAUUAUUUUUAUAAGCCAAAAUCCUAUAUAUUUUAUAAAGUUGGAUACUCCCCCUAAUAAAACAAAUAAUUGUAUUUGGGAGCAAAGAUUUAUAGUUACAAAAAAAAUGGUCUCCCUUGAAUGUCUGAAACUUUCACCGCAGAGCGGCCUUUCCAAACGGGAGGAAGAGUCAUUUAGUUUCGCAGUGGAGGGUCUGGCCACCCUCCGAGCACCAUGAGGAGAAGAGGCUCGGGGUGGGGCAGCCUCUCUCAGGAGAGGCCUCUUCAGCGUCCCCUGUGGCUGUACCUCAGCUUCCCACUCUGUAAAAUAAGACUCUUGUUUGUUCUACCCGUGGGGGUGAGGUGAUGGGAGGAGAAGGGAGCAGCAUUGUGGGCUCCAGCCAUCGAAGAGGCAGGGGAAGCACCAAGAAUAUUAGCAGCCAUGGAGGAUGCUUCCCCCGGCACGUCCACACCC
ensembl:lncRNA